GUACCCAUCUAUGAAACUUUUCAACUUUUUAAUUUUAAAAUGUUGUGACAUCCCGUCGUGAAAUUUAUUAUAUUUUAUUCUUAACAGUGAUAAAAUUCCUAAAAUACCCUUGAGAUACCACGUAGGCCUUCCACAUGGACUUCAAAAUUUUCUUUUAUUUUUCCAGCCUUAUUUUACUAUUUUUGAACACGUAACGGUAAACAGAACUCAAUUCAGAAUUACAACGAACAAGUUUUGUUUAAAACAGUAUAAAAAUACCAUGCAACUCCAAAACUUGAAACCUUCCCUCGUGCAGCGCGCACCAAUGCUGGGAUUUUAUCGUGUCCGAGUGGGUCGCUGUUGUUUUUAGUGGAAAUUGAAGUGAAAUACAAGUAGGAAUUAAAAUAAUGGUUUAUUUGGGUUUUGAAAGCUCCAUUUUUCGAGAGAUUUUUUAGUUUGAUCGGUACACGAAAUGAUAACCACGUGUUAUUAUGUAAAUGGUGGGAUAUAUGUGCUAAAAAGUUAAUAACUUAAAUAGUAAAAUUUCCCAUAACUCUUAUUAAAACACAUGAUGUACCAUUUGUGUUUCCGUCACAACAAAAAAUUUCAACUAUUUUUCCAACUCCAUCUGACACCAUCAUUUUCCCUCACAACUCUCUAGCUCUCUCACUCAUUCUGGGCUAGUUUCGUAUUGCUGUGCUUUGAAAAAAAAAAAAAAAACUACUUCUGCUGUGCUGUGAGAAUAAGCUUAUUUUUGCUGCUUCACGUUUUCAGCUUUUUUUUCACCAAAAAUUGUGAAAAUAAAAUAUUUUUAAAUAUUUACCCAACACUUUUUAAGCUCAAUUUUUAUUUAUACUCACUUUUUAUAAAAGCACAUCAGUACCAAACCAGUACUUCUUAUCUCUUUCCACUCAUCUCUCUCACUUCCUCUUUUUUUUUUUUUUGAAUUAUCAGUUCUCUCUCUCUCUCUCUCUGACACAUACAUACACACCCUAAUUGCCCCGUGCCCUCCCACUCCCCACCAAUUAAAGUUAUACCCCCACUUGCCCCGUGCCCAAUUCUCAGAUUCUCCGCCCUCUUCCUCCUUCCAUAAAUCCUACAUUAUUCUGCGUUUCUUUCUCUGUUAAAGUCUCUGCCUUUUUCAUUUUCUCUACACUUUUGGGCUGAUUUUCCCGGGAAAGAUGAAGGACCCCCAUCUGGGUUUCUGGGGUUGUUUACCUGGUGUGCUGCUUUUGUUCUUUUCUCUCUACCCACCAUCAGCACACUCCCAGUCCGCCGGCGGCGAUGACAGAGCAGCUAUGGAAGCACUCAGCAAAAGCAUCGGCCCCAACAGCCUCGGGUGAUCCGGCACCGAUUACUGCAACUGGGGACAAGUCAGUUGCACCAAGGACGGCAAGGUUUUUAAAUCCAAAUGGGCAAUCAGAAACUCACCGGCACGCUUACAUCGGAAAUUCAAAAGCUUUCAAAUUUGCAGCUUUUCCUCUCCUUGCACUUUCUUCUUUCCCUCGGCACUACCCAAACUCAGCUGUAACCUUGCUUGCAUCAUUAGAACACCUCUGUGUGUUCUGCCAUUGAAGCCGAUAGCUUCAAAUCUCUGAAACUCGAACUCAGAAACUGACGAGUGUGUUCGAAGGAAAUCCGUUGAAUCCGAAGUGGAUUCGACUCGAUUUCGUCUGUAUUGAUGCUCUGAUGAAUUACCUCAAUUUCUGGUGAAGUUCUAGUUCAAAGUCAUGUGGAACCGAGGUGUUUCACCUCUGUUCAUCCUCUGCAAUUAGUUCCAGAAAACUGGUGAACCUUCACCUGAGCAAUUCCGAUGAAAUUCAUGACAAACUUGCCCCAAUUCAUCUUAAUCAGUCCUUUGAUUCCAGUGAACUCCGGUGAUCGUGAAAUCUAACGACCGCCGUUGGGUUUAACGGAAUCUUCAACGGAAAUGGUUUCAUUAAUCACGUUACAUGUUAGAAAUUGUACAACGGUAGAAUAUGCUUGUUUGGUGGGAAAUUUUAGAAAAAGAAUGAUGUUGCGGUACUGUUUUUACAACAAGGACCAAACUGUAAAAAUUGUUGAAGCUUUAGGGCUGUUUGGUAAUUCUAAAAACUUGGGGGGCAUUUUUGCAAUUAUCUGUGGUUAGGGGUAAUUUUGUAAAAUAGGACAUAUUAUAGUUAAUCUGUCCAUUUUGUGUAUGCUUUAUGUUUAAGUAUUUUGUUAAGUCAAUGUGACUUG